rnacentral:rRNA from 1 species
CGGCGAACGGGUGAGUAACACGUGGGUGAUCUGCCCUGCACUUCGGGAUAAGCCUGGGAAACUGGGUCUAAUACCGGAUAUGACCUCCUGUUGCAUGACUUGGGGUGGAAAGAUUUAUCGGUGCAGGAUGGGCCCGCGGCCUAUCAGCUUGUUGGUGGGGUAAUGGCCUACCAAGGCGACGACGGGUAGCCGACCUGAGAGGGUGACCGGCCACACUGGGACUGAGACACGGCCCAGACUCCUACGGGAGGCAGCAGUGGGGAAUAUUGCACAAUGGGCGAAAGCCUGAUGCAGCGACGCCGCGUGAGGGAUGACGGCCUUCGGGUUGUAAACCUCUUUCAGCAGGGACGAAGCGCAAGUGACGGUACCUGCAGAAGAAGCACCGGCUAACUACGUGCCAGCAGCCGCGGUAAUACGUAGGGUGCAAGCGUUGUCCGGAAUUACUGGGCGUAAAGAGUUCGUAGGCGGUUUGUCGC